AUUGAACGCUGGCGGCAUGCCUUACACAUGCAAGUCGAACGGCAUCGCGGGAAAGCUUGCUUUCCUGGCGGCGAGUGGCGAACGGGUGAGUAACACAUCGGAACGUACCGGCUAGUGGGGGAUAACCCGUCGAAAGACGGGCUAAUACCGCAGACGCUCUUCGGAGGAAAGCAGGGGAGCUUUGGGCCGUGCGCUAGCCGAGCGGCCGGUGUCCGAUUAGCUGGUUGGUGGGGUAAAGGCCUACCAGGGCGACGAGCGGGAGCGGGUCGGAGAGGAGGAUCGGCCACACUGGGACUGAGACACGGCCCAGACUCCUACGGGAGGCAGCAGUGGGGAAUCUUGGACAAUGGGGGCAACCCUGAUCCAGCAAUGCCGCGUGGGUGAAGAAGGCCUUCGGGUUGUAAAGCCCUUUCGGCGGGGAAGAAAUCGGCGGGGCUAAUACCCCGGCUGGAUGACGGUACCUGCAGAAGAAGCACCGGCUAACUACGUG
rnacentral:rRNA from 1 species